GAUAUAUGAUGAGCGCAAGAAAUUUAAGCAGACCUACCAGGAGAGCCCGAUAUUGUAGAAGUCAUGACAAGAGUUUGCCGUGGCGAGAAACUGGUUGUAUACCUGAGGUGUUUGGGAAUCGUAGAAAGUUUGAGAGUGCGAUUGGGUGAUAGGCCAGGAAGCACAUGUGUUGAAGUAGGGUUGGUGAUCUUAUUGGAGUAGAGAUUAUUGGUCGAAAGUGUGAUAGAUAGAGAAGUCGCCAUGGAUGGAUGCUCGAAGGAUAAGCUGAAACUAUGCCCAAGGACUCUGGUUGUUGAACUUUUUGGCCGGAAUCGUGACCGUUGGUCGUAAUUGUUGGAAACGUAGUUACACGUGGCAACACUCUGGUUGGUCAAAAUGCUUCAAUAUUAGAAAUUUGCGUGGUUAUGCUUUGGCAAUUAAAACUGCAUGUCGCUCCAGAAUUUGAACCAAAUUCGAUUUCCUUUCUCCCCUCCCCCUCCAAUGGUGGCCAUUACCCUCGUGUCACAGCCCUACUCCAUUUCUUUCUUUGAGGAGAUGCUUUUAUCACCGGCCAUUGUAUUCUAUGCCAAUCCUGUCCCUCCAGAAGCCUGACCAUAAUCUCAUUUGCCGCAAUGAUCUCACGAAUAGAAAUGUCCAGUGGCUACUAUUGGGCUCCCCAGCUUGGGAAUGGGAACCUUCGCCAGCCGCCUCUCUAACAUUCUCGGCAUACCCCGCAUUGCUAACGGCGAUCUCGUCUCCUCCGGCCCCCUCUCUCAACUGGUUUUUCUGUCUAAUCCCUGAUUUGUUCGUUGGAGCUCAUAUUACUUUGGAUUCUUAUUAUUUUUCACACAGGCUAACUUUCGAAGUGCGCUAAUUUUAUCCCUUUUUUUUUUAUGAUUUUUUUUUUCCUGUUCUGAAAUCUCUGAUUCUUGCUUACUAUUUAGCGAAAUGGUUUUUAUUUUUUCUGUUCUGAAAUCUCUGCUGAUUCUUGCUGACUAUUUUCUAAAAAAAACAAAAGAAAAAAAAAUCUCUGUCCGCCAAUGUUUCAAUAUUAUCAGUUCAUAAUUAAGUUACGUCUAUCAUGUACAAUCCUGCUAAUGUAUCAUUUGUUGAUAUAUUUGGGAGUUCUUGCCAAUUAAUAUCCAUGACUCUGCUAGAAUAUUCCUGAAGUAGAUCGAGUUUUAACUCAAAAUUAUGGAGUCCCCCAUCAUAUAUGUGUCUAUUCGAUAUUUGUGAUGAUUUAAUUGUUUGAUUUGUCACAAGUAGCUAAGAAUCACUCUAUUUGAACUAUGAGCUGUCGGGCUUGCCAUGAAUUAGUGUUGUUUGUGUUUUACUGUUAUUGUGUUAAAGACUCUGUUUGUUUGGUUCUAAAGUUAUUUUUGUAGAACUGUGUUUCUCGUUUUCUGGUGUUUGAUUGGGUUUUGAGAUGGCUGGUCAUCUGAAAUUGAUAUGGUGCGCAAAAAUUCAAGCUUUUUUUAAAGCUGGUUUCAAACUCAAAAAAUGUUGAAAACCAACUCAAAAAUCUUAAAACCAACUUAUGCCAUCGCCUGCCGUCUAUCCACCACCAAAAUCUCCCAAUAUUAGCCAUUGAAUUAGGGACAAAGGCACUGGGAACAUAUAUAGAUACACACUAUACCCCUAAUGUCCCGAUGCCCCUUUUUUAAUCUCUUCACUAUAAUGUGUAACUAUGUUGGGUAUUGCUCAUUACCCAAAAAAAAAAAAAAAAAAAAACGUCCAUAGCAAAACUUUGACCAUAAUUAGCUACCCAAAUUUUCUGUAAAGGGCGAAGUUUUCUUUUUCCAUCCCAUUGCAGAUAGAUGAAACUUUCAAUGGUAUAUGAAGUAAGUGUUUUGGAUUUCUUCCUUUCUCUUUUAUGGUGACUCUGAACUGGUUUAUAUAUAUAUAUAUAUAUAUAAACUUCUCGGAUAGUAUCAAAAUCAAUUGAAACUUCUUUGAAUUUUCCCAGAAAACUGAAAAAGGUUAUUAUUUAAAGAUUUGAGACUAUCACAAAAAUCACGUUACAUUUCCAAAUGGUUUAUAGUUUUUUAACUAUGAAAAUUAUUAUCUCAGGUACAUCUUUUCAUAUGAAAAGUGUUAUUAUAGAAGUAUAAUGUGAUGCAUUAAUACCAACUCUAUGAUUAAAAACAACAUUUUUUAUAAAACAUUUAUGCUAACCGAACAACAAAAAGAAAAAAACAACUAUUUUCAAGUGAGCCAAAUUCCAAAAAAACAGUUGUUUUCUUGCAAAGAAUUUUGCUGGAAACACUAUCCGUAACAUAAAUGUUAUACUUCAAAACAAAUGGAGCCUGGCUGUUUUUAUGCCUUACUUACACCUUAUUUUGGAGGGGGAAUGAGAUUUAAAAAGAGAAAAGUAAAAUAUGUAAUAUCUCAUUCAUCCCCUUGAUUGGGAGUUUAACAAGCUAGGAGGGAUGAUUCCCUCAUUUGAAAGUUUGUGAACGUAAUGGGUAGGUGAGAAUAUACAUUCCUUUUGUUUUCCCCUCAAAGACUCCAUUGUUCAUUCGCACAAACUUGGAAGGAAUCUAAGAAAUAGAAGUCAUAAAAUCUUGACCAAGAUUAUUAUGAUACCCCUUUUAUUUUGUGAGAAGCCUGUACCACCCCUCUUCAUGCCAUGAAACACACAUCUAGACACCUCUUCACCUUAUUGCUAUUUAGCCCUUUGUUAUAAACAUUGUAAUUUAUGUUUCAUCAAAUGAGAAAUUGUGAAAUUUCAUUUCAUGGAACGUUUGCUAUAUUUAUUGGGUGUCCUUUUUCACUACUCUGUGUGUGUGUGUGCGCGCGUGCGCAUGUGUAUUAUGAUAAUGUAGUGUAGAAGUUAAUUGCUAAAAUUCCCAAGGACAUAAAAAAGAAUAAGAUGAAAAAUAAAUAGAAGACUUUGAAAAGAAUUGGUGAAUGCCGUGACAUGGUUAAGGAAAAUUUUAGUGGAUUUGGUUGGAAGGAUUCUUUAACAUGUGACAAGUUGAAACUGGAGUUUUGGAGCCGUGAUAAAUUGCUAUAUUUUCGUGAGUUUAUUUUUAUUAGAAAGAUUUAUAUUUGUUUACAUAGUGCUAAGAAUGCUUUUUUAGUGUCUAAAUUUGUAGUCAAGAAAUGGUUGAAAAUACAUAUUUUGACACAUUACUAUGGUACAACUUUGAGCCAAAUUCAUAGCAACAGUUGAUCUUGCUGAGAUUGAAAAGGAAAAACGCGUAAGGUAUGUUACCUUGAUUACUACUAAUGACAUCAAUAUGAUGAUUUUAUAAAAUGAAGUUUUUUGUAAAGCUUUAAAAUGGAUGAAAUUGAUCAAAUUAUGUCACUUGAAUUUAAGGCUUUUCAAAUGAUCAAGUGAAGAAUGAGAAAACCUUUUCAUAAAAGCAAAAAAAUACUAGAUUAUGGUCAAAAGAACACAAUACAAUUGCUCAUUAUUUGAUAAUAUGGCUAUGACAAUUGAUAAGGCAACUAAUGUUACUAGUGUUAUUGAAAAGUCUUAAUAAAAAAUAUCUAGAGUAGAAACCGGCUUUGCAGGUAUUGGACAGUAGACAACUUGUGUUAUUGACUUCAUAUUUUUUUGUGGACAAUCCUAUUUAUAAUGAGAUUUUAUUUGGUUUUAAAGUUGAAUUCACAAAUGGCUCUUUUUGUAGUCACUAGUGACAGAAGUUGGAUGCCAUUCCAAUUGCUGUAGAGUUGUAACGAUUUCCGUUGAAGUCUUUUUGAUAAAGACUUUGCAAUAACACUCUUAAUAUCGGUUGGCUCAUUACUUAUCAAAAACAUAUCAGUUGGCUUAUUUGUUUUCAUCAUAUCAUAAAUGAAUGGUUAAUUGUAUUAUAUUUUUCAUCAUAUUCUGGUAUUUUUGUCGCUUUUAGAAGACUGUUUCUGGUGAAGGUGCUUGGAAAGGAUAAGCAUCAAUCUCAAAUAACAUCGUUUGUUUGCUUUCAUCAACUUCAAGUUGUCAAAAUAAAUUUUAAUCUGGAAGACCAACAUAUAUAUCGAUGUUAUCAAUAGUGUUUGAUAUUGUAUACCUUACAUGUUUCUCCUUUGCAGCCUUAGCGUGAUCACCUGCUGCUCUAUCUUUGGCCCAAAUUUGGGAUGUCUAAAACAAUGUUAUCGAGUCUUGAUGUUUAUUCUUUGAGGAAAGUCAUUGUUUAGUGAGCAUUUAUUCUUGUGGAGAAAGAGUCUCAACGUUAUCAGUUCAUGUCACUACUUGUCUUGAAAAGUUUAAGUUAAAUGUAAUUGUGCAGCUGCACAUAACUGUGUGUAUAGGGUUUUAUACAAUCUGUUUCAAAUAUAAAAGUGCGGCCAAGAAUAUGGAUGAUUCAAAUUAACACACUUUAUAUUAAUGCACACAUUGAAGUUUGAAGUAAUUUUCUUUUGCGUCAAGCAUCUAUCAUAGCAACGUUAUGUUUCUUUUGUAAAAUGUCUCCUGUUUUGUCUGGAUUCUGUUUUCCUGUCCAAUUUUUUUUUUUUUAAUUAGAUUGUUGUGUCCCUUUUAUUAAAUAUAAUGAUUUCUGAUUUUGGGGUAUUUUUUCUCGAGUUCUUAAAGUGGAUUAUUUUCUAUGCAUGCCAUUCUAGUUUUUCAAAUUAUGGGAUUUAGUUAUUAUUGUAGAAAAUGAGAUUAUUAUUGCCGUCCUCCACUUUGCAAAAGUAGAGAUGGUUAGUUUCUUGGAUUUGGGUGGGACAUUUUGAUUAUAGUGAAUGCCAAUAAUUGUUUUGAAUUAAAGGUUUUGGACAGGAAAGAAAAAACAUCUUUUUGAAUGGUUUUUGCAGUUGAAUUUUAUACAAUGCCAUGGACUAAGCUCACUAGUAGGAUAUCAGACCAUGUUCUUAAGCAUUUUUAUCAUGUCAUUACAAUCUCUUCAUCCAUCUUGUUAAUUAACCCAUUGGUUCUCAAUUCAACCAAUUUCUAUAUUUACUGUUUAGACAUGUUAUUUCCACAAUUUUUUUCACAACUGGGAAAACAUGCCUUGCACGUUACACUACUGCUAGUAUGUAUGUAUAUAUAUAUAUGUAUGGUAACCUUGUAUGUGAUGCUGGAUAUAUAUGUAUAGUAACUUGUAUGUGAUGCUACGCUGCCUCUCUCUUGCUUUUCACUAUAUAGUGACCUUGUAUGUGAUGCUACACUGAAGGCAAAAAGGUAAUGCUAGAUAUGGACUUUCAUUUUUUCCCUUUGGCUUUAUAGAGAUUAUGUCUAUUAAUUUUUUUUCUGCAUCAACUGCUGCCUCAUUUCUCCGACGAGCAGACAAAUUUCCAUAACAAAGAUGCCUUCACACUGCCUUCACAAUGCCUUCACCUGAUUUUAACAAUGAGGUUUUACAAACAGGUCUAGACAUCAGAAGUUGCUUUAUGAAGUUUUUUAGCAUAUUAAAUGUACAAGGGAGGGUUUGGCAUCUGAUUCACUUCAAGAAUGACUGGAUUUAUUUGGGGAUACAACAAACUUGAGGAGAAAAAGAUCUACAUUUCGGGUGGCAGAGAAUCUCUGCUCAAUGUAAGCCAAACUCUUAACUCACCCAUGGCUCUUGCUUUUACAUGUUAAUUUUGUAGCAACCCUUCCCCAUAGGGUUAGAAAUGUUACUUCCAUUACUUCACCUCAGGUGUUGAGAAAUGCCAUAAUUCUUAUUAAACUAGUUUUCUUAAUGUAUCAUAUGUUACAAAACCAAAAUAAUUAAUACAAUGUCCUUAUAUAGUCAUAACAGCAGGAAGCAUAUCCUAAAUACUGUGUAGGAUUCUUAUUAAGGUAUGCUUCAGUCAAGGUCUCUAAAACUAGUUUUUGCUCUAUAACUUGUUCUAGCCUGCUGACCCAUCCUCAUCACCAGCAAUACAUGGGAUGUCUAAAACACCCUAUGUAUGGACUGGUCAUUAUUUUACUAUUGUGUCUAUUUCGUAAUCAUAUAACUUGUUUUCUCACCUCUUUGGUUUCACUUUCAGCUCGAACUUAUAGGUAUCGCAAGGUAUGCAUUAUUUGGAUCUUCUCUUCUUUUGUUGUGUUUGGAAGAUUGGGAGCUUGUGUUUAUUGCCUUGACUUUACACUAAUGAGCUAAAAAAGAAUGCAAAGUAAACUAGUAAUGAACAUCGAUUUGGAUUUCUAUUAUAACUUGACUUUUCCAUUGGUUUGGAAAUCCACUUUGAACAUAUGGUAUGUUUUCUUUAUAUAGGAGAGAUAUAAAUGCACCUUUGGAUUCAUUUGAUUUUGACAAAUUGAAUAGUGUUCUCCCUCUCUUUCAAUUUGGUGGGUUGCGGAAAACUUAUGGCAUGACUAUUGUGCCGGUUCUCUCCUUUUGUGAAAACUGAGGUGAUGCUCCAUGCCAUUUUACAAAUUUAAAGGCACUGUAAAUAGCUUUAAAAUUAUGUCAAACAAUGGAAUUGAAUUGGAGACCUUUGUUUCAUGGUGGUUGCAAGUUCAUUUGGACUUGUGAUUAGUUUUAAGUUGGUACUUUCAUGCUCCAUUUGUAAUAGCUAGAGAA